CAGGCUAGCGACGCUCCGAAUGCGGAAUGGAUUUAAACUGUAGAACAACACACACGUUUUCGGCAUUCCUGAAAACGACUCUGUAAGAUGUCUACUAAGAAGCAUCGAGCCAUGGGGUCUGAGGAGUGGGUGAGCCGCCUGAAGGUAUUUGCCUCUUCUGGCACUUGGCCCUCCAGUGCAGGGAACAGGCCAUCUCCGAAACAGGCCAAGUGGCCCAACCUCUACCAGAAGAUUGAGUAGUGUCCCACGAUGCUGCGUGGGCAGACCUCUAUCUUAAGGGUAGCGCAGACAUGUACCUGUGGCUUUCACCCCCAGCAGCCCUGCAGCUACCUCUGCCUCCACCUCUGCUA